GAUGAACGCUGGCGGCGUGCCUAAUACAUGCAAGUCGAGCGAAUGGAUUGAGAGCUUGCUCUCAAGAAGUUAGCGGCGGACGGGUGAGUAACACGUGGGUAACCUGCCCAUAAGACUGGGAUAACUCCGGGAAACCGGGGCUAAUACCGGAUAAUAUGGUGAUUCCGCAUGGUUUCUCCAUUAAAGGAUUCCAGUUACCGAUGGGGAUGCGUUCCAUUAGGCAGUUGGCGGGGUAACGGCCCACCAAACCUACGAUGGAUAGGGGUUCUGAGAGGAAGGUCCCCCACAUUGGAACUGAGACACGGUCCAA
rnacentral:rRNA from 1 species